rnacentral:rRNA from 1 species
CAGUAGCCACGGGAAUACCGAGGGUGCAAGCGUUAAUCGGAAUUACUGGGCGUAAAGCGCGCGUAGGUGGUUUGUUAAGUUGGAUGUGAAAGCCCCGGGCUCAACCUGGGAACUGCAUCCAAAACUGGCAAGCUAGAGUACGGUAGAGGGUGGUGGAAUUUCCUGUGUAGCGGUGAAAUGCGUAGAUAUAGGAAGGAACACCAGUGGCGAAGGCGACCACCUGGACUGAUACUGACACUGAGGUGCGAAAGCGUGGGGAGCAAACAGGAUUAGAUACCCCAGUAGUCCCUGUCUCUUAUAC